UACGGAGGAUCCGAGCGUUAUCCGGAUUUAUUGGGUUUAAAGGGAGCGUAGGUGGAUUGUUAAGUCAGUUGUGAAAGUUUGCGGCUCAACCGUAAAAUUGCAGUUAAAACUGGCAGUCUUGAGUACAGUAGAGGUGGGCGGAAUUCGUGGUGUAGCGGUGAAAUGCUUAGAUAUCACGAAGAACUCCGAUUGCGAAGGCAGCUCACUGGACUGCAACUGACACUGAGGCUCGAAAGUGUGGGUAUCAAACAGG
rnacentral:rRNA from 1 species